CUCCUACGGGAGGCAGCAGUGGGGAAUUUUUCGCAAUGGGGGCAACCCUGACGAAGCAAUGCCGCGUGGAUGAAGAAGGCCUUCGGGUUGUAAAGUCCUUUCGUGGAGGACGAAAAGGUGGGUGCUAAUAUCAUCUGCUGUUGACGUGAAUCCAAGAAGAAGCACCGGCUAACUCCGUGCCAGCAGCCGCGGUAAUACGGGGGGUGCAAGCGUUAAUCGGAAUCACUGGGCGUAAAGGGUGCGUAGGCGGUACAUUAGGUCUGUCGUGAAAUCCCCGGGCUCAACCUGGGAAUGGCGGUGGAAACCGGUGCACUAGAGUAUGGGAGAGGGUGGUGGAAUUCCAGGUGUAGCGGUGAAAUGCGUAGAGAUCUGGAGGAACAUCAGUGGCGAAGGCGGCCACCUGGCCCAAUACUGACGCUGAGGCACGAAAGCGUGGGGAGCAAACAGGAUUAGAUACCCUGG
rnacentral:rRNA from 1 species